rnacentral:rRNA from 1 species
UACGGAGGGUGCAAACGUUGCUCGGAAUCAUUGGGCGUAAAGCGCACGUAGGCGGCCUGUUAAGUCGGGUGUGAAAGCCCUGGGCUCAACCCAGGAAGUGCACUCGAAACUGGCGGGCUUGAAUAUGGAAGAGGGUCGCGGAAUUCCCGGUGUAGAGGUGAAAUUUCGUAGAUAUCGGGAGGAACACCAGUGGCGAAGGCGGCGACCUGGGCCAAUAUUGACGCUGAGGUGCGAAAGCGUGGGGAGCAAACAGG